rnacentral:rRNA from 1 species
AGCCAGACUCCUACGGGAGGCAGCAGUGGGGCCUCUUGCACAAUGGGGGCAACCCUGAUGCCGCGACGCCGCGUGAGUGAAGAAGUAUUUCGGUAUGUAACGCUCUAUCAGCAGGAAAGAAAAUGACGGUACCUGACUAAGAAGCCCCGGCUAACUACGUGCCAGCAGCCGCGGUAAUACGUAGGGGGCAAGCGUUAUCCGGAUUUACUGGGUGUAAAGGGAGCGUAGACGGUGAAGCAAGUCUGAAGUGAAAGGCGGGGGCGCAACCCCCGGACUGCUUUGGAAACUGUUUGACUGGAGUGCAGGAGAGGUAAGUGGAAUUCCUAGUGUAGCGGUGAAAUGCGUAGAUAUUAGGAGGAACACCAGUGGCGAAGGCGGCUUACUGGACGGCAACUGACGCUGAGGCUCGAAAGCGUGGGGAGCAAACAGGAUUAGAUACCCCAGUAGAG